rnacentral:rRNA from 1 species
CAGCCGCCGCGGGAAUACGGAGGGGGCUAGCGUUGUUCGGAAUUACUGGGCGUAAAGCGCACGUAGGCGGCUUGGUAAGUUAGAGGUGAAAGCCUGGAGCUCAACUCCAGAAUUGCCUUUAAGACUGCCGAGCUAGCAGGUGAGAGAGGUAAGUGGAAUUCCGAGUGUAGAGGUGAAAUUCGUAGAUAUUCGGGAGAACACCAGUGGCGAAGGCGGCUUACUGGCUCAUACUGGACGCUGAGGUGCGAAAGCGUGGGGAGCAAACAGGAUUAGAUACCCGUGUAGUCCCUGUCUCUUAUAC